rnacentral:miRNA from 2 species
AAAGUGAUCGGGUUGCCGUCUG